GAUGAAGAACGUAGCGAAAUGCGAUAAGUAAUGUGAAUUGCAGAAUUCAGUGAAUCAUCGAAUCUUUGAACGCACAUUGCGCCCGCUGGUAUUCCGGCGGGCAUGCCUGUUCGAGCGUCAUUUCCACCCUCAAGCUCUCCGGAGUUUGGUGUUGGGGCGCCUGGGGCUUUUCGACCUCAGGGCCCUCAAGUCCAUCGGCGGGACCGCCAGGACACUGAGCGCAGUAGUAUUAUUUCGCGCGGUAGGAUCUUCCACGGCGGGUCGAUCUGGCCGCUAAACCCCCCAAUUCUCACCAAAGGUUGACCUCGGAUCAGGUAGGAAUACCCGCUGAACUUAAGCAUAUCAAUAAGCGGAGGA
rnacentral:misc_RNA from 1 species